rnacentral:rRNA from 1 species
CAAAGAGCAUAAGGUGAAUGCCUUGGUGAUUAGAGCCGAAGAAGGACGUGGCAAGCUGCGAAAAGCUAUGAUAAGGAGCAAACAUCCGCAAUAGUCAUAGAUCUCCGAAUGAGGAAACUCACUUAAUAGAGAUAUUAAGUAUCCAUUGCUGAAUACAUAGGCAAUAGGAAGGGAACCCACCGAACUGAAACAUCUAAGUAAGUGGAGGAAAAGAAAGAAACAUCGAUUCCCAAAGUAGCGGCGAGCGAAAUGGGAGGAGGCCAAACCGAAUAAGGAAACUUAAUCGGGGUGAGGGAAGCUAACAAUAUGAUUGAGGUAUCGCAAAGGAAAUACUUGGGAAAGUAUACCAAAGAAGGUAAGAGUCCUGUACUUGAAGCGAGAAGACACAUAAGCUUUACCCGAGUAUCGUAGGACACGAGGAACCCUGCGAGAAAGAUGGGGGACCACCCCCAAAGCCUAAAUACUACUAAUCAACCGAUAGAAAAUAGUACCGUGAGGGAAAGGUGAAAAGAACCCCGGGAGGGGAGUGAAAAAGAACCUGAAACCAUAUGCUUACAAACAGAUGGAGCGAGCAAUCGUGACAUCGUACUUUUUGUAGAACGGGCCAACGAGUUAUGCUGUAAAGCAAGGAUAAUAAAUUAAGUUUAGCAUCCAAAGCGAAAGCGAGUCUUAAUAGGGCGAGAAGUUAUGCAGCAUAGACCCGAAACCGGGCGACCUACCCAUGAGCAGGUUGAAGUUUCAGUAACAUGAAAUGGAGGACCGAACCCACGAACGUUGAAAAGUUCGGGGAUGACUUGUGGGUAGCGGUGAAAUUCCAAUCGAGCUCGGAGAUAGCUGGUUCUCUUCGAAAUAGCUUUAGGGCUAGCGUCUUAAGAAGUGUAUAUCGGGGGUAGAGCACUGAAUGCUCUAGGGGCCGUAUAGGUUACCGAAAGCUAUCAAACUUCGAAUACCGAUAUAUGAAUAAGGCAGUCAGACUACGAGUGAUAAGAUCCGUGGUCAAGAGGGAAAAAGCCCAGAUCAACAGCUAAGGUCCCAAAAUGUAUGUUAAGUGGAAAAGGAUGUGAAAUUGCACAGACAACCAGGAUGUUGGCUUAGAAGCAGCCAUACAUUAAAAGAGUGCGUAAUAGCUCACUGGUCGAGUGGUUUUGCGCCGAAAAUUACCGGGGCUCAAACAUACUACCGAAGCUUUGAAUUCACACGCAAGUGUGAGUGGUAGAAGAGCAUCGUAUGAUAGGGAGAAGGAGGAUUGAAAAAGACUCUGGACGAAAUACGAGAGAGAAUGUUGGCAUGAGUAGCGAGAUGUGUGUGAGAAUCACACAGGCCGAAAACCCAAGGUUUUCCAAGGAAGGUUCGUCCGCUUGGAGUAAGUCGGGGCCUAAGGAGAGGCAGAAAUGCGUAUCUGAUGGAUAACAGGUUAAGAUUCCUGUACCUACGCUUAUCGCUAAAGAGGAGAAGGAAUGACGCAGGAGGAUAAGAUCAGCGCACGGUUGGAAGAGUGCGUCCAAGCAGUAAGGCAGGCAUAUAGGCAAAUCCGUAUGCUGGUAAUGUUGAGCUGUGACGGGGAGAGAAGUUAAGUAUCGAAGGAUCUGAUUUCACACUGACAGGAAAAGUUUCUAUCCAGAUAAGAGUAGCCCGUACCAAAACCGACACAGGUGGGUAAGGUGAGAAACCUAAGGCCAGCGAGAGAACUGUUGUUAAGGAACUCGGCAAAAUGACCCCGUAACUUAGGGAUAAGGGGUGCCUUAGAGAUAAGGCUUCAAGAAAAAGGCCCAAGCGACUGUUUACCAAAAACAUAGGUCUCUGCGAAACCGCAAGGUGAAGUAUAGGGGCUGACGCCUGCCCGGUGCUGGAAGGUUAAGAGGAGAUGUCAGGCAACGAAGCAUUGAAUUUAAGCCCCAGUAAACGGCGGCCGUAACUAUAACGGUCCUAAGGUAGCGAAAUUCCACAGACUCGGUGAAAUUGUAGUACCGGUGAAGAUGCCGGAAACCUGCGACAGGACGGAAAGACCCCAUGGAGCUUUACUGUAGCUUAGUAUUGAAUUUAUGUAAUUAAUGUACAGAAUAGGUGGGAGGCGAAGAGAUUAGGUCGUCAGAUUUAAAGGAGCCGCCUUUGGGAUACCACCCUUUGAUUAUGUGAGUUCUAACCGGAAUCUUUGAAGCAAGGUACGGGACAGUGCUUGGCGGACAGUUUGACUGGGGCGGUCGCCUCCCAAAGAGUAACGGAGGCGUCCAAAGGUUCCCUCAGCAUGGUCGGAAAUCAUGCGAAGAGUGCAAAGGCAAAAGGGAGCUUGAUUGCGAGACCAACAAGUCGAGCAAAGACGAAAGUCGGGCUUAGUGAUCCGGUGGUAGAAAGUGGAAUUGCCAUCGCUCAACGGAUAAAAGCUACCCUGGGGAUAACAGGCUGAUCUCCCCCAAGAGUUCACAUCGACGGGGAGGUUUGGCACCUCGAUGUCGGCUCAUCACAUCCUGGGGCUGGAGUAGGUCCCAAGGGUUGGGCUGUUCGCCCAUUAAAGUGGUACGCGAGCUGGGUUCAGAACGUCGUGAGACAGUUCGGUCCCUAUCCGUCGCAGGCGUUGGAUAUUUGAGAGGAGCUAUCCUUAGUACGAGAGGACCGGGAUGGACGCACCACUGGUGUACCAGUUGUCUUGCCAAAGGCACAGCUGGGUAGCUAUGUGCGGAUAAGAUAAGUGCUGAAGGCAUCUAAGCACGAAGCCAACCUCAAGAUAAGAUAUCCCAUACGCAAGUAGUAAGACCCCAUUAAGAACAAGUGGUAGAUAGGCAAGGAGUGGAAGUGCAGUAAUGUAUGUAGCUGACUUGUACUAAUAGGUCGAGGACUUAACCU